UACAGAGGUCUCAAGCGUUGUUCGGAUUCAUUGGGCGUAAAGGGUGCGUAGGCGGCGCGGUAAGUCGGGUGUGAAAUCUUGGAGCUUAACUCCGAAACUGCAUUCGAUACUGCCGUGCUUGAGGACUGGAGAGGAGACUGGAAUUUACGGUGUAGCGGUGAAAUGCGUAGAUAUCGUAAGGAAGACCAGUGGCGAAGGCGGGUCUCUGGACAGUUCCUGACGCUGAGACGCGAAAGCGUGGGGAGCGAACAGG
rnacentral:rRNA from 1 species